GCUUCUCUCACGAGGAAUCCCUAGUAAGCGCAAGUCAUCAGCUUGCGUUGAUUACGUCCCUGCCCUUUGUACACACCGCCCGUCGCUACUACCGAUUGAAUGGCUCAGUGAGGCUUCCGGACUGGCCCAGGGAGGUCGGCAACGACCACCCAGGGCCGGAAAGCUAUCCAAACUCGGUCAUUUAGAGGAAGUAAAAGUCGUAACAAGGUCUCCGUUGGUGAACCAGCGGAGGGAUCAUUAAAGAGUUGCAAAACUCCCUUAAACCAUCGUGAACCAUACCUCUGAACAGUUGCUUCGGCGGGCCGGCCCUCCCCCGGGAGGCGCCGCCCAAGGCCCGCCGGAGGUACCCAAACCAUUGUCUUUACAGGCCUCUCUGAGUGACAUACUUAAUAAGUCAAAACUUUCAACAACGGAUCUCUUGGUUCUGGCAUCGAUGAAGAACGCAGCGAAAUGCGAUAAGUAAGUGUGAAUUGCAGAAUUCAGUGAAUCAUCGAAUCUUUGAACGCACAUUGCGCCCGCCAGUAUUCUGGCGGGCAUGCCUGUCCGAGCGUCAUUUCAACCAUCAAGCCCCGGGCUUGUGUUGGGGACCUGCGUCCGACGCAGGCCCCGAAAACCCAGUGGCGGGCUCGCUGUCCACACCGAGCGUAGUAGCUAACCUCGCUCCGGAGUGGCGCGGGCGCCUGCCGUAAAACCCCCCCAAUUUUACAAGGUUGAACCUCGGAUCAGGUAGGAAUACCCGCUGAACUUAAGCAUAUCAUA
rnacentral:rRNA from 1 species